UUAAGUGCAUGUGGUGGAUGCCUUGGCAGUCAGAGGCGAUGAAAGACGUGAUAGCCUGCGAAAAGCUCCGGGGAGGCGGCAAAUAUCCUUUGAUCCGGAGAUGUCUGAAUGGGGGAACCCACCUACUUUAAGGUAGGUAUUGCAACAUGAAUACAUAGUGUUGCAAGGCGAACGAGGGGAAGUGAAACAUCUCAGUACCCUUAGGAAAAGAAAUCAAUUGAGAUUCCCUCAGUAGCGGCGAGCGAACGGGGAUCAGCCCAUUAAGUUAUGUGUGUUUUAGUGGAACGCUCUGGGAAGUGCGAACGUAGAGGGUGAUAUUCCCGUACACGAAAGGGCACACAUAAUGAUGACGAGUAGGGCGAGGCACGUGAAACCUUGUCUGAAUAUGGGGGGACCAUCCUCCAAGGCUAAAUACUCCUGACUGACCGAUAGUGAACCAGUACCGUGAGGGAAAGGCGAAAAGAACCCCUGUGAGGGGAGUGAAAUAGAUCCUGAAACCGCAUGCAUACAAGCAGUGGGAGCACCUUCGUGGUGUGACUGCGUACCUUUUGUAUAAUGGGUCAGCGACUUAUAUUCAGUAGCGAGGUUAACCGUAUAGGGGAGCCGUAGAGAAAUCGAGUCUUAAUAGGGCGUUUAGUUGCUGGGUAUAGACCCGAAACCAGGCGAUCUAUCCAUGAGCAGGUUGAAGGUUGGGUAACACUAACUGGAGGACCGAACCCACUGUCGUUGAAAAGCCAGGGGAUGACUUGUUGGAUACGGGGUGAAAGGCUAAUCAAGCCUGGUGAUAGCUGGUUCUCCCCGAAAGCUAUUUAGGUAGCGCCUCGGACGAAUACCAUAGGGGGUAGAGCACUGUUUCGGCUAGGGGGUCAUCCCGACUUACCAAACCGAUGCAAACUCCGAAUACCUAUGAGUACUAUCCGGGAGACAGACUGCGGGUGCUAACGUCCGUAGUCAAGAGGAAACAAUCCAGACCGCCAGCUAAGGCCCCAAAAUCAUAGUUAAGUGGGAAACGAUGUGGGAAGGCAUAGACAGCUAGGAGGUUGGCUUAGAAGCAGCCACCCUUUAAAGAAAGCGUAAUAGCUCACUAGUCGAGUCGGCCUGCGCGGAAGAUGUAACGGGGCUAAAACUAUGUGCCGAAGCUGCGGAUGUAUACUUUGUAUACGUGGUAGGGGAGCGUUCUGUAAGCCGAUGAAGGUGUGUUGAGAAGCAUGCUGGAGGUAUCAGAAGUGCGAAUGCUGACGUGAGUAACGACAAAACGGGUGAAAAACCCGUUCGCCGAAAGACCAAGGGUUCCAGUCCAACGUUAAUCGGGGCUGGGUGAGUCGACCCCUAAGGCGAGGCCGAAAGGCGUAGUCGAUGGGAAAAUGGUUAAUAUUCCAUUACUUCUGUGUAAUGCGAUGAGAGGACGGAGAAGGCUAAAUCAGCCUGGCGUUGGUUGUCCAGGUGAAAGGAUGUAGGCAUGUAUCUUAGGCAAAUCCGGGGUACUCUAUGCUGAGAUCUGAUAGCAAGCUGUACUUGUACAGCGAAGUGGUUGAUGCCAUGCUUCCAGGAAAAGUCUCUAAGCUUCAGUUACACAGGAAUCGUACCCGAAACCGACACAGGUGGUCAGGUCGAGUAGACCAAGGCGCUUGAGAGAACUCUGCUGAAGGAACUAGGCAAAAUGGUACCGUAACUUCGGGAGAAGGUACGCUGUUGUUGGUGAUGGAACUCGCUUCCUGAGCUGACGACAGCCGCAGAAACCAGGCCGCUGCAACUGUUUAUUAAAAACAUAGCACUCUGCAAACACGAAAGUGGACGUAUAGGGUGUGAUGCCUGCCCGGUGCUGGAAGGUUAAUUGAUGGGGUUAGCGUAAGCGAAGCUCUUGAUCGAAGCCCCAGUAAACGGCGGCCGUAACUAUAACGGUCCUAAGGUAGCGAAAUUCCUUGUCGGGUAAGUUCCGACCUGCACGAAUGGCAUAAUGAUGGCGGCGCUGUCUCCAGCAGAGGCUCAGUGAAAUCGAAAUCGCUGUGAAGAUGCAGUGUACCCGCGGCUAGACGGAAAGACCCCGUGAACCUUUACUGCAGCUUGACACUGAACUUUGACCUUACUUGUGUAGGAUAGGUGGGAGGCUUUGAAGCUGGAACGCUAGUUCCAGUGGAGCCGUCCUUGAAAUACCACCCUGGUAAUGUUGAGGUUCUAACUCUGUCCCGUGAUCCGGGACGAGGACCGUGUCUGGUGGGUAGUUUGACUGGGGCGGUCUCCUCCUAAAGAGUAACGGAGGAGUACGAAGGUGCGCUCAGCGUGGUCGGAAAUCACGCGUAGAGUAUAAAGGCAAAAGCGCGCUUAACUGCGAGACCCACAAGUCGAGCAGGUACGAAAGUAGGUCUUAGUGAUCCGGUGGUUCUGUAUGGAAGGGCCAUCGCUCAACGGAUAAAAGGUACUCUGGGGAUAACAGGCUGAUACCGCCCAAGAGUUCAUAUCGACGGCGGUGUUUGGCACCUCGAUGUCGGCUCAUCUCAUCCUGGGGCUGAAGCAGGUCCCAAGGGUAUGGCUGUUCGCCAUUUAAAGAGGUACGCGAGCUGGGUUUAGAACGUCGUGAGACAGUUCGGUCCCUAUCUACCGUGGGCGCUGGAAAUUUGAGAGGAUCUGCUCCUAGUACGAGAGGACCAGAGUGGACGAACCUCUGGUGUACCGGUUGUGACGCCAGUCGCAUCGCCGGGUAGCUAUGUUCGGAAGGGAUAACCGCUGAAAGCAUCUAAGCGGGAAGCCUACCUCAAGAUAAGAUUUCCCUAGGACUUUAUGUCCUCUAAAGAGCCGUUCGAGACUAGGACGUUGAUAGGUUGGAUGUGGAAGCAUAGUGAUAUGUGAAGCUGACCAAUACUAAUUGCUCGUGAGGCUUGACU
rnacentral:rRNA from 1 species